rnacentral:lncRNA from 1 species
UUUUCGAAAAAAGACAAAAAUAUAAUUUUUUCAAAUUAAUUGCAUUUUUCCGAACUACGCGAACCUGAUUUUCAUCUUUCUAGGUGAGAUACGUAGGCAACCUAUUUAUAGGAAUGGUCUUCCUAGUAUUAGGUGCUUGGCUUUGUGGGGUCUUAGCCAAACCUUGCAUGUCUAGCCACUUUAGGCCACAUCGACCAUUGCUUCAAAAUGGGGUCAUUUUCGUAAAAGUGGUUCAAUUACCCAUGUACUAAGGUCCACAACUAGGUGUCAUAGUACUUUAAGGUCCUUCAUAUUUGAGUUUGUAUUUUUAGCCACAUUUGGCCAUAAAGGCCAUUUUUGCACAAUGGGCCAUUUUCGCAAAGUAAUUUUUUUUAAGGCCAUUAUUGUUGAGAUGUAAGAGUCAAUGAGUCAUGCAUGCUUUAAAUGGAUUAUUUUUCAUGCAUUAGAGGGUCAACUUUUUCAAGUUUGCACUAAUAGCCACUUUCAGUCACUUUUGGCUACGUAAGCCUUUUUGCAAAAAUAUCUUUAAUCAUGCCUUGCAUGUGUAUAAAAGAAGGUGUUGUGGUGUUACACGUGUCUUGAGUCACUACCUCUAUUUGAUCAUAUUUUUCGCAUUCAGGUAUGGAGGAAUUUGCUAGAGUCUGAGCAUGAGAACCCCAGGACCACUGCAUCUAGGAGCUGCUUAUAGAUACUUUUAUGUUUUGAGUAUGUCAUUCAUGUUGUCUUUUAAUUAUUAGUCUCGUACAAAAGUAUCGAUUCUGUCAGUCUAGGUAAGAUUUUCGAGUCUUUUGUUACAUUACUUCCCAUUUGUAUAUGACAAAUAGUCAUAAAUGAAAAAUUCAAAAAGACUUUUAUUUCUUAGUUUAUUUUGUCCAUUACGUUUUAAGAACUACGCUUGAUCUGAUUCAUGAGGGACAUGAUACAUAGGCAACCUACAUAGGGUUCGAUUGAAUCAUUUUUUAAAUUAAAAGAAAAGAAAAAAAGAAGGAAACAAAAAAUAAGAAGAUGAAAUUAUGGGAUGUGAGAAAUGAUUCAUUAUUAAAAAAAGAAAAAAAAGAAAAAAAGAGACGAAAUUGGGGGCAUGAGAAAUGUGAAAAAAGAAGAAGCGAUAAUCAGAAAAAAAGAGGGUGAUAGAAAUGACAAAUCAGUCGGUGUUUGAAAACAAGAGGAGGAAGGAAACGAGGCAAAAAGAGUGAAAUUGGGAUGAUGCCAUAUGACCUCCGCGCCCUCGAAGUUAUUCUAGAACCGUAAUUGUUGCUAGGGAAUGGCACACAUUGUUGUAUUUGUAUCUGCUAAAUGCCCUAACGCUAACGUGUUGGUUUUGUUUUGCUCCUAUUUGUUAGUUUCAUUGUUAUUGUAACAGAGGGUGGUUUAGUUUGUGGCACUUUGGUGAUUUGUCCGUACAACACAAGGUCAACAAGUAAGGAAACCAUGGCUAGCAAAAACUUGGAUAAGAGAGUUGUCGACCCCUCGAGGAAGAUUAUGGAGUCAGAAUCUUACUUGAACGAGGAGGUCCAAAGGUUGAAACAACACAUGUCUGAAAUGUGCCAAGCAUGAGCCAAUAGUCAAAGACCGCCCCUUUCUUAUGCUUUCCCAGAAUUUACACCCAUCUCUGCUACUACCACUCUGAUUUCAUUGUCCGAUCAAUCCAUCCAUCCAGGUUCAGUCCUUAUCCCAAUUGCACGACUAUAGUUUAAACUUUUGUUGUGCACUCCCAAAGUGUGCCAUUGACAACUAGUUAGACAACUACUACAGUUAUGCUUGUCUUUACCAUCCCAUAGCCGACGGUGGUGCAGAGAAAAACUCAUGAGUCACAAAUUGAUUCCCAGCAAGAAUAAUAUCACUCUCCUGAGUACCACUCUUACCUAUUUGAUCUUCCUGCAAAUAUUAAGAUGCCUGGGCCGAAGGUAGCAUCUGAAGAAAUGACCCACAGACUAAAAAUCUUAGAACAACAUUUGAUAAAUAUGCAAGGGCCGGCGGGUCAGAAGAGUAUUGCCUUCAAGGAUCUAUAUAUGUUCCCUGAUAUUUGUUUGCCACUUGGUUUCAAGACUCCCAAAUUUGAAAUGUAUGAUGGACAUGGAGAUCCUGUAGCCCAUCUGAAAAGGUAUUGCAAUAAGCUAAGAGGUGCAGGAGGAAAUGAAGAAUUGUUGAUGGCUUGUUUUGGGGAAAGCCUUACGGGUGUAGCCUCCGAAUUGUUUAUAAGUCAAGACACAUCUUUCUGGUAUGUCUGGGAUGAUAUGGCACAUGCUUUUGUCAAAGAGUUCCAAUAUAACAUCAAUAUUUCUCCAGACCGCAAUUCCCAUUCAAACCUGAAGAAGAAACUAGCUGAAAGUUUCAGGGAAUAUGCCAUUAAAUGGAGAGAACAAACAGCUAGAGUUAAGCCACCCAUGGAUGACCAAGAGCUAAUCACUGUCUUCCCUCAGGCUCAAGAGCUCAAUUACUUUCAAAUGUCUGCAGUUGGUAAAUCAUUCUCGGAAGCAGUCAAAAUGGGAGAAAUGGUAGAGAAUAGCCUCAAGACAGGCAAAAUCAUAAGUCAAUCAACUCUCAGAGCUGCUACUCAGGCUGUCCAAAUUAAAUCUGGUAAUUUUAGUGGCACGAGUGAGAAGGUUGAAGAACUCAUGAUUACAUCAAGGUCGAGAAGAGGUCUUUGAAGAACAUCUCGAAGGCAUGACCAACCUCGUUUGAUUUUUGACGAUUCCCCUAAGAACCCACAAUACUCUGUUGCUUUACCCUAGUAUGUGGUCGAGCCACCAAGACACCCCAGAAGGCUAGCACCAUCUCCGCAAAAUCUCCACCAGCCUCUGAAAAAUUUUCAGGUGCCCCAUAUCUCACAUCCAAGCCAGGGGGACAGAGGUAAAAAAAGUUGAAAGACAAUUUUACACCGAUAUGAGAGUCCUACGCAAGCUUGUUUGAGAAACUAAAGCAUUAUGACCUGAUUGCACCUAUUCCUCNNNNNNNNNNNNNNNNNNNNNNNNNNNNNNNNNNNNNNNNNNNNNNNNNAUGACAUGAUUGCACCUGUUCCUCCGAAUCAUGUGGACAAGCUUGCAAGAAGUUUUGACCCUUCUAAAAGGCUUGAAUACCAUUCCAAUGCCCAGGGGCACAAUGUCGAUAGUUGUCAGGAUUUGAAAAGAGAGAUAUAAAGAAUGAUUCAGGAAAGGAUAAUUGUGGUCCAGGAAAGUGACAACCAAAAAAUUUCACAGAAUCCUUUACCUGUACUUGAUGAUGCACACGUUGUGGGGAUGAUGCAUGGUAACAC